ACUGGAGUUUUGAUCCUGGCUCAGAUUGAACGCUGGCGGAAUGCUUUACACAUGCAAGUCGAACGGUAGAGGGGGCAACCCCGUUGUAGAGUGGCGAACGGGUGAGGUAAGUAGUAUCGGAACGUGCCCAGUCGUGGGGGAUAACGUAGCGAAAGUUACGCUAAUACCGCAUACGAUCUAAGGAUGAAAGCGGGGGACUCGCAAGAGCCUCGCGCGAUUGGAGCGGCCGAUAUCAGAUUAGGUAGUUGGUGGGGUAAAGGCUCACCAAGCCAACGAUCUGUAGCUGGUCUGAGAGGACGACCAGCCACACUGGAACUGAGACACGGUCCAGACUCCUACGGGAGGCAGCAGUGGGGAAUUUUUGGACAAUGGACGCAAGUCUGAUCCAGCCCAUUCCCGCGUGCAGGAUGAA
rnacentral:rRNA from 1 species